rnacentral:rRNA from 1 species
GUAGGGAAUAUUGCGCAAUGGACGAAAGUCUGACGCAGCGACGCCGCGUGAGUGAUGAAGGCCUUAGGGUCGUAAAGCUCUGUUGAAUGGGAAGAAAAAAAUGACGGUACCAUUCGAGGAAGGACCGGCUAACUUCGUGCCAGCAGCCGCGGUAAUACGAGGGGUCCUAGCGUUGUUCGGAAUCAUUGGGCGUAAAGGGUGUGUAGGUGGCCAUGUAAGUCAGGUGUGAAAGCCCCGGGCUCAACCCGGGAAGUGCACUUGAUACUACGUGGCUUGAGUACCGAAGAGGGUAGUGGAAUUCCAGGGGCAGUGGUGAAAUACGUAGAUAUCUGGAGGAACACCGGUGGCGAAGGCGGCUACCUGGUCGAGUACUGACACUGAGACACGAAAGCAUGGGGAUCAAACAGGAUUAGAAACCCCAGUAGUCC